UCUUCUUCUAGCGGCUCUAGGAGUUCGUCUGUCUCGGUCUCCCAGAGUCCUCAGGCGGUAGAUGAACCGGUAGGUAGAGCUGAACCUCGUCCAAUUUUUGCACCGGACGCCAUUCCUUGUUCUCUGACUCCGGACGAACUCCAACUGAUAAGAGUUCAGUAUGGGGUUCCUCCGGAGUACGAACUGGAACUUCCUGGCCCGUCCGAUCGGGCUAGUGCCCCUCCCCCCGACUGCUUCUGCCUGUACCAGGAGGCCU
rnacentral:lncRNA from 1 species